UGGUGACAACUUACAGGCAGUAUUCCUAUCCUGAAUCCUAUGCAAAUAAUGAUCACAUUCCCCAUUUCACGGGAAAUGACAUUUGCUAUCAACAGAAAUGGAUGGGUUGUUCCAGCUUUUCUGAGCCCACGCAGAGGAACUAAUUGAUCUGUACACAGACUGUUCCGGCUUGUUUAGUAAUGAAAUUAGCAACAGUAGAAGCUGAGUCCAAGAGAGCCCUUGGAAAUGCAUCUGCCUGUCUGGGAAUGUGUCAUGGAUUCUGUGCAUGGAGCCACGCCGUGGAGUGCUGCCCUCAGAGAGACAGGAGCAGAGCACAGCUCUGCUGUUCUGAGGGCUGCUGGGCAGACUGGAGCACCGUGAAGGCAAGCAGGCACUGGAGAAUGGAUUCUUUUUUUAUACCACCAAGCUGUCCUCUUCAACAUGCUUUAUUAACAAUCUGAAGUACAUCACCAUCCCGCUUGAGAGAGACGAGGAGAAACCUUGGGUGCCAUUUGGGUAAAACAAAAUGUUUGGAUAAGGUGAUGCUGAGAAACACGCCUCACGAUGACUUAUGCCUAUCUCACAUUUCAUAUCAAUUCUUCCUUUGGGUCCAAAGCAGACCAAAUCCUUGAAACCGUGCCUGGGAAUCCCACCAUUAUUAAAACAGUUGAGCUGUGGUGCCUGUGAUCAGAACGCCCUGUUGCAGAUCCUGGCAUCGGCUGUGAACGGAAGAACUGAUGGCAAAUCACUCGAUAUCAAAAUUGAUCCAGGGGAUAUUUACAAGGCUCGGGUGACCCGGAUGGAAUCUCAGAGUGGUGAGGUCAGGUACCGAGGUGGUUACUACUAUGUUUCCUCUAAGAGUUGCUCAGCUGUUUUGCAUUGCUGUUAAUCAUUCCAAGCCAUUCUUGGCUUCACGGUGCGCAUGUGUCUGAUUGAUACCAGCUUUUUCAUCACCUCAGAUGCUGGCUGAAAAAAAAAAAAGAAUAAUAAAAAGCAAGACAAUGUCAUUUUGUUGGUUAUAC